rnacentral:sRNA from 1 species
CCCUAGCCCAGAUAGCAGUUGAAAUCUCCCGAUUUUUUAUCGGGAAUUGUAACGUAUAGCUGGAAAAAGC